rnacentral:rRNA from 1 species
GGACCAUCAUGUCGGUCGUGCCUCGGUACGUACUGGUUUUAUUGGUUCUCACCUUCUAAAGAACCAUAAUGUCAUUUAUUUGAUGUUAUGGGGAAUUAGGACUGUUACCUUGAAAAAAUUAGAGUGUUUAAAGCAAGCUUACGCUUGAAUACAUUAGCAUGGAAUAAUGAAAUAGGACAUCAGAUUCUAUUUUGUUGGUUUCUAGGAUCGAUGUA